rnacentral:rRNA from 1 species
GUUGAACGCUGGCGGCAGGCCUAACACAUGCAAGUCGAGCGGCAGCGGAAAGUAGCUUGCUACUUUGCCGGCGAGCGGCGGACGGGUGAGUAAUGUCUGGGAAACUGCCUGAUGGAGGGGGAUAACUACUGGAGACGGUAGCUAAUACCGCAUAGCGUCGCAAGACCAAAGAGGGGGACCUUCGGGCCUCUUGCCAUCAGAUGUGCCCAGAUGGGAUUAGCUAGUAGGUGGGGUAACGGCUCACCUAGGCGACGAUCCCUAGCUGGUCUGAGAGGAUGACCAGCCACACUGGAACUGAGACACGGUCCAGACUCCUACGGGAGGCAGCAGUGGGGAAUAUUGCACAAUGGGCGCAAGCCUGAUGCAGCCAUGCCGCGUGUAUGAAGAAGGCCUUCGGGUUGUAAAGUACUUUCAGCGGGGAGGAGGGUGUUGAGGUUAAUAACCUCAGCAAUUGACGUUACCCGCAGAAGAAGCACCGGCUAACUCCGUGCCAGCCGCCGCGGUAAAAC